UUGGACAUGGGCGAAAGCCUGAUCCAGCCAUGCCGCGUGUGUGAAGAAGGUCUUCGGAUUGUAAAGCACUUUAAGUUGGGAGGAAGGGCAGUAAGUUAAUACCUUGCUGUUUUGACGUUACCAACAGAAUAAGCACCGGCUAACUUCGUGCCAGCAGCCGCGGUAAUACGAAGGGUGCAAGCGUUAAUCGGAAUUACUGGGCGUAAAGCGCGCGUAGGUGGUUCAGCAAGUUGGAGGUGAAAUCCCCGGGCUCNACCUGNGAACUGCCUCCCAAACUACUGAGCU
rnacentral:rRNA from 1 species